GUGUUCGCUUCAGCAGCACAUAUACUAAAAUUGGAAUGAUACAGAGAAGAUUAGCAGGGCCCAUGCACAAGGAUGACAUGCAAAUUCGUGAAGCCUUCCAUAUUUUU
rnacentral:snRNA from 1 species